GAUGAACGCUGGCGGCGUGCCUAAUACAUGCAAGUCGAGCGAACAGACGAGGAGCUUGCUCCUCUGACGUUAGCGGCGGACGGGUGAGUAACACGUGGAUAACCUACCUAUAAGACUGGGAUAACUUCGGGAAACCGGAGCUAAUACCGGAUAAUAUAUUGAACCGCAUGGUUCAAUAGUGAAAGACGGUUUUGCUGUCACUUAUAGAUGGAUCCGCGCCGCUUUAGCUAGUUGGUAAGGUAACGGCUUACCAAGGCGACGAUGCGUAGCCGACCUGAGAGGGUGAUCGGCCACACUGGAACUGAGACACGGUCCAGACUCCUACGGGAGGCAGCAGUAGGGAAUCUUCCGCAAUGGGCGAAAGCCUGACGGAGCAACGCCGCGUGAGUGAUGAAGGUCUUCGGAUCGUAAAGCUCUGUUAGUAGGGAGGAACAAAUGUGUAAGUAACUAUGCACGUCUUGACGGUACCUAAUCAGAAAGCCACGGCUAACUACGUG
rnacentral:rRNA from 1 species